ACAAAUGCUAUGAAGAGAAGAGUAUAAUCGGCAAUUCUUCAAAGAGAGCUCCUGUUGGUGAAAAGGAGUAAGAAUUAAUGGUUGGAAACAAGUCUCAGAGCAGCACAUUGGAUCCAUAUGGGUGAUGGUGUGACAGGAGCUCCUGUUAUAGAGCUACGGUAUAUGUAUGGACUUCAUACUGUACCUAUCAAGGAUAAUAUGGUGACAUAUUACCAAACUGGGGUGGCACCACGGCGCGCAACAACUCGUCCUCAAG
rnacentral:ncRNA from 1 species